AAAAAUAUAUUUAAUAAAAUUUUAAUUUUUUAAUUUCUUUUUUGAACUGAAACUUAUAAUAUUUUUAUAAUAUUGAAUUAUUUUAUAUAAAUUUUAAAUGUAAUAUUAAAUUAUUUUGAUUCAUUAAUCUUUAAUAAAUGAUUUGAAUUUUAUUAAAUUUUAUAUAAGGAUUACUUCAUUUUAAGAUAAUUAGAAUAUAUAAAAAAUUAGCAUUUAUUUAUUUAAAUAUUUUUA
rnacentral:tRNA from 1 species